rnacentral:rRNA from 1 species
AACGAACGCUGGCGGCAUGCCUAACACAUGCAAGUCGAACGAGACCUUCGGGUCUAGUGGCGCACGGGUGCGUAACGCGUGGGAACCUGCCCUUAGGUUCGGAAUAACUCCCCGAAAGGGGUGCUAAUACCGGAUAAUGUCUUCGGACCAAAGAUUUAUCGCCUUUGGAUGGGCCCGCGUUGGAUUAGCUAGUUGGUAGGGUAAAAGCCUACCAAGGCGACGAUCCAUAGCUGGUCUGAGAGGAUGAUCAGCCACACUGGGACUGAGACACGGCCCAGACUCCUACGGGAGGCAGCAGUGGGGAAUAUGGGACAAUGGGCGAAAGCCUGAUCCAGCAAUGCCGCGGGAGUGAUGAAGGCCUUAGGUUGUAAAGCUCUUUUACCCGGGAUGAUAAUGACAGUACCGGGAGAAUAAGCUCCGGCUAACUCCGUG